ACUCACUGACCUGGAGGGGUUAGUCUCACCUGUCCGCUGUGUUAACUGUGUACAGGUGUGUGUUGGCUGUGUACAGGUGUGUGUUGGCUGUGUACAGGUGUGUGUUGGCUGUGUACAGGUGUGUACAGGUGUGUGUUGGCUGUGUACAGGUGUGUGUUGGCUGUGUACAGGUGUGUGUUGGCUGUGUACAGGUGUGUGUUGGCUGUGUACAGGUGUGUGUUGGCUGUGUACAGGUGUGUGUUGGCUGUGUACAGGUGUGUGUUCCAUGAGUUGCACAAUCAGCAGAUGAAUGUUGCGUCACAAAGAGGAUUACCU